rnacentral:rRNA from 1 species
GGGGGAAUAUUGCACAAUGGCGGGAACUCUGAUGCAGCGACGCCGCGUGAACGAAGAAGGCUUUCGAGUCGUAAAGUUCUUUUAUAUGGGAAGAUAAUGACGGUACCAUAAGAAAAAGCCCCGGCUAACUACGUGCCAGCAGCCGCGGUAAUACGUAGGGGGCUAGCGUUGUCCGGAAUCACUGGGCGUAAAGGGUUCGCAGGCGGAAAUGCAAGUCAGGUGUAAAAGGCAGUAGCUUAACUACUGUAAGCAUUUGAAACUGCAUAUCUUGAGAAGAGUAGAGGUAAGUGGAAUUUUUAGUGUAGCGGUGAAAUGCGUAGAUAUUAAAAAGAAUACCGGUGGCGAAGGCGACUUACUGGGCUCAUUCUGACGCUGAGGAACGACAGCGUGGGUAGCAACCAGG